CUACGGGCGGCUGCAGUGAGGAAUAUUGCACAAUGGGGGGAACCCUGAUGCAGCAACGCCGCGUGGAGGAUGACGCAUUUCGGUGUGUAAACUCCUUUUAUAUGUCAAGAAAAUGACGGUAGCAUAUGAAUAAGCACUGGCUAACUCCGUGCCAGCAGCCGCGGUAAUACGGAGGGUGCAGGCGUUACUCGGAAUCACUGGGCGUAAAGGACGCGUAGGCGGGUUGGAAAGUCAGGUGUGAAAUCCUACAGCUUAACUGUAGAACUGCACUUGAAACUUCUAAUCUAGAGUAUGGGAGGGGGAGAUGGAAUUAGUGGUGUAGGGGUAAAAUCCGUAGAUAUCACUAGGAAUACCUAAAGCGAAGGCGAUCUCCUGGAACAUUACUGACGCUAAGGCGUGAAAGCGUGGGGAGCAAACAGGAUUAGAUACCCCCGUAGUC
rnacentral:rRNA from 1 species